GUGCGCACGUGCUCGGCGUCCCGGGCUGCGGCAGAGGCGGAGGUGAGCGCGCGGAGCUGGCCAGGCCUACGUGCGGCUGCGGGCGGGCUCUCUCGGAGGUUUACAGAGGUGGCAGCCCUCAUGGCAGGUCCCCUGUGGCGGGCCACAGCCUUUGUGCAGAGACACAGGACGGUCCUGUUGGUGGGUUCCUGUGCAGGCCUGUUUGCGGCUCAGAUCUCGUACCAUCUCUUCCCGGAUCCUGUGGUCCCGUGGCUGUACCAGUACUGGCCUCAGGGCCAGCCAGCCCCCCUGUCCCCAGAGCUGCAGAGCCUGUUCCGGGAGGUGCAGCAGGACAUCGGGGUCCCCUCAGGCCACCGCUUCGAGGCCUUCACCACCUUCACCUUCCAGCCUGUGAGCGCCGGCUUCCCUAGACUCCCUGCCGGGGCCGUGGUGGGCAUUCCCGCCAGCUUCCUGGGUGGCCCAGUGGCCAACGCUGACCGGCCCGUGGUCGUCCACGGGCAGCGAGUGGACUGGCAGAGCCCAGCGGGCGCCCGGCUGAGAGAUGCCCUGAUCCUGUCCCACGACGCCCAGAAGUUCGCCUUGGCCAGGGAGGUGGUGUACCUGGAGAGCGGGGCAGCCGCCCUGCAGGCCCUGCCGGCCCCCGCCUGCCUGGCGGGCACCUGGGCGCUGGGCGUGGGGGCCAAGCACGCCCUGGGGCUCUACGGAGGCCCCAUGAACUUGCGGGCCGCCUUCAACUUGGUGGCGGCAGUGGCGGGCUUCGUGGCCUAUGCCUUGUCCACAGACUCUCUCACUCAUGCCCUGGAAGCCUGGCUGGACCGCCGCACGGCCUCACUGUCUGCAGCCUAUGCCUGGGGCGGGGUGGAGUUCUACGAGAAGCUUCUGUCGGGCAACCUGGCCCUGCGCGGCCUCCUGGGCCAGCCCGGGGAGAAGCUGUACACGCCCAGCGGGAACGUGGUUCCCAGACACUGGUUCCGCAUCAAACACCUGCCCUACACGGCCCGCCGGGACUCUGUGCUGCAGGCAUGGAGGGCGGCGCUCGGCCCCCGCAGCCCCUGAAGGCCUCGUUCCAGCUGGAGCAGAAAACCAGAUGCCCCUGUGAAGUGAUGGAGCCACAGACAGAUUCCCGGGAAUCCAGAGGUAACCAGCGAAGGAGUCCACUAGUGGGAACGGGGGCCCUCGCGGUGGGGACUCCCUGGGUGCUGCCUGCAAGGACAGAUGACAAGAGGCGGCCCGGUGGCUGCACACACCUGCCUUGGCCUCAUGAGCAUCUUCUCUUCCCUCUACCUGCCUCGAGGACAUAAUCCCAAGGAGAGGGCAGAGACAAACACUGAAAUGACUGAAAUCAGGUUACCUCAAAUACUUGGUGAAAUUGGAGUUCAAAAACAGAGCAAAAUAAAUUUACUUUUCUUGACCUGGGUCAGAGACAAGCAAAAACGCUACAGGGAAAGGGGGCAUAGAUUACACUGGGGUGUUGGGGGAAUGUGGACCUGGAAGGCUUCCUGGAGGAGGUGAGGCUGGAUCAAAAAUUGAACGUUCUUGGGACUUGAAGAACCUGGUGGCGCAGUGGUUAAGACUCGUGCUCCCAACGCAGGGGGCCCAGGUUCGAUCCCUGCCCAGGGAACUAGAUCCCACAUGUGUGCCGCAACUAAGAGUUCGCAAGCCACAACUAAGGAGCCAGUGAGCCGCAACUAAGAGCCGUCAAGAUACGUGUUCAACCACAAAUCACAGAAAGCC